rnacentral:rRNA from 1 species
CCUACGGGAGGCUGCAGUGAGGAAUAUUGGUCAAUGGACGCAAGUCUGAACCAGCCAAGCCGCGUGCAGGAAGACGGUGCUAUGAGUUGUAAACUUCUUUUGUACGAGGGUAAACGCAGAUACGCGUAUCUGUCUGAAAGUAUCGUAAGAAUAAGCAUCGGCUAACUCCGUGCCAGCAGCCGCGGUAAUACGGAGGAUUCAAGCGUUAUCCGGAUUUAUUGGGUUUAAAGGGUGCGUAGGCGGUCUGUUAAGUUAGCGGUGAAAUCCCGGGGCUCAACCUCGGAAUUGCGUUUGAUACUGGUCGGCUAGAGAGGAGUUGAGGUAGGCGGAAUGUAUGGUGUAGCGGUGAAAUGCUUAGAGAUCACACAGAACACCGAUUGCGAAGGCAGCUUACCAGGCUAGUUCUGACGUUGAGGCACGAAAGCGUGGGGAGUAAACAGGAUUAGAUACCCUUGUAGUC